rnacentral:rRNA from 1 species
UACAGAGGGUGCAAGCGUUAAUCGGAAUUACUGGGCGUAAGGCGUGCGCAGACGGUUGCGUAAGUCAGAUGUGAAAGCCCCGGGCUCAACCUGGGAAUUGCAUUUGAGACUGCGUAGCUAGGGUGCGGAAGAGGGAAGCGGAAUUUCCGGUAUAGCGGUGAAAUGCGUAGAUAUCGGAAGGAACACCAGUGGCGAAAGCGGCUUCCUGGUCCAGCACCGACGUUCAGGCACGAAAGCGUGGGGAGCAAACAGG